UACGGGGGGAGCAAGCGUUGUUCGGAUUUACUGGGCGUAAAGGGCGCGUAGGCGGUCAGUGCAAGUCAGUUGUGAAAGCCCUCGGCUCAACCGGGGAAGUGCACCCGAAACUGCAAGGCUAGAGUCUCGGAGAGGAUAGUGGAAUUCUCGGUGUAGAGGUGAAAUUCGUAGAUAUUGGGAGGAACACCGGUGGCGAAGGCGGCCCCCUGGACCGGUACUGACGCUAAAGCGCGAAAGCGUGGGUAGCAAACGGG
rnacentral:rRNA from 1 species